AAAAAAAAAAAAAAAAAAAAAAAAAAAAAAAACAAGAAAAGGAA
rnacentral:sRNA from 1 species